CUGCGCGAAUCUGCCGGGACCAUCCGGUAAGGCUAAAUACUCCCGUGAGACCGAUAGCGAACGAGUACUGUGAAGGAAAGGUGAAAAGAACCCCGAGCAGGGGAGUGAAAUAGUUCCUGAAACCAUACGCCUACAAGCGGUCGGAGCAUCUUACGAUGUGACGGCGUGCCUUUUGCAUAAUGAUCCUACGAGUUACCGUCACUGGCGAGGUUGAGUGUCACGAGACACGUAGCCGCAGUGAAAGCGAGCCUGAAUAGGGCGCAUAGUCAGUGGGGGUAGACGCGAAACCAAGUGAUCUACACUUGGCCAGGAUGAAGUCCCGGUAACACGGGAUGGAGGUCCGCACCAAUAAGCGUUGAAAAGCUUCUGGAUGAGCCGAGUGUAGGAGUGAAAGGCCAAUCAAACUUGGAGAUAGCUCGUACUCCCCGAAAGGCAUUUAGGUGCCGCGUCGGAUGGUCACCGUGAGAGGUAGAGCGACCGAUAGGACAAGAGGGCUUCACCGCCUAUCGAGUCCUGACGAACUCCGAAUGCUCACGGUCUGCAGUCCGGCAGUAAGGGGGCGGGUGCUAAGGUCCGUCCCCGAGAGGAGAAGAAUCCAGACCGCCGUCUAAGGUCCCGGAGUUCUGCCUGAGUUAGUCUAACGAAGUCUGGUCCCUAUGACAGCUAGGAUGUUGGCUUGGAAGCAGCCAUUCAUUCAAAGAGUGCGUAACAGCUCACUAGUCGAGGGUCCGGGCAUGGAUAAUAAUCGGGUAUAAGGCAGACACCGAAGGCGCGGGAUAGCAUUUAAGAAAGUAUCGGUAGGGGAGCAUACUCACAGCGUGGAAUGGUGUACGUAAGUUAUCCUGGAGCGGUGAGUAAAGCAAAUGUAGGAAUAAGUAACGAUAAGGAGGGUUAGAUUCCCUCCCGCUGUAAGACCAAGGUUUCCCGGGCAAUGCCAAUCAGCCCGGGGUCAGUCGGGUCCUAAGUCUAAGCCGAACGGCGAUGGCGAUGGCAGAGACGGUUAAUAUUCCGUCACUGCCGCAUGGGGCGACGUGGAGACGGAGCAGUGAAACCACCGCGGGGCGACGGAAGUCCCCGUUGAAGAGUGUAGGUGUUGAGGAUGGCAGGCAAAUCCACCGUCCGAGCUGAACUUGAUAGUAUGGAGUCUUCUUCGGAAGAAUCCAAUAGUGUGGGUAAUCAUACUCCCGAGAAAAUCCGCUAAGCUUAACCCAUGCGGCACCCGUACCGCAAACGGACACACGUGGUCGGGUAGAACAUACUAAGGCGUUGAGAGAUUCAUGGUUAAGGAACUAGGCAAAUUGACCCUGUAACUUCGGGAUAAAGGGUCCUCGUGAUGAGCGAGGCGCAGAGAAUAGGUCCAGGCAACUGUUUAACAAAAACACAGGGCUGUGCAAACUCGAAAGAUGACGUAUACAGCCUGACACCUGCCCGGUGCCGGAAGGUUAAGAGGAGAUGUCACUCGCAAGAGGAAGCAUUGAAUUGAAGCCCCGGUAAACGGCGGCCGUAACUAUAACGGUCCUAAGGUAGCGAAAUUCCUUGUCGGGUAAGUUCCGACCUGCACGAAUGGUGUAAUGAUCUGGACGCUGUCUCAACCGUGAGCUCAGUGAAAUUGUAGUAUCGGUGAAGAUGCCGAUUACCCGCGAUGGGACGAAAAGACCCCGUGAACCUUUACUACAGCUUAGCAUUGACCUUGGUCAUCCGAUGUGUAGGAUAGGCCGGAGGCUUCGAAGCGGGAGCGCCAGCUUUCGUGGAGCCAUCCUUGAAAUACGGCCCUUUGGCUGUCUGAGGUCUAACGCGUGAUACGCGGACACUGCUUGGUGGGUAGUUUGACUGGGGUGGUCGCCUCCAAAAGCGUAACGGAGGCUUCCAAAGGUGCCCUCGGGUCGAUUGGUAACCGACCUCAAAGAGUGCAAUGGCAUAAGGGCGCUUGACUGGGAGGCAGACAUGCCGAGCAGGCAGGAAACUGGGGCAUAGUGAUCCGGCGGAUGUGUAUGGAAACUCCGUCGCUCAAAGGAUAAAAGGUACUCCGGGGAUAACAGGCUGAUCCCCCCCAAGAGCUCAUAUCGACGGGGUGGUUUGGCACCUCGAUGUCGGCUCGUCACAUCCUGGGGCUGGAGAAGGUCCCA
rnacentral:rRNA from 1 species